GCGGAAGGACCUCUCUGUCCUGGUACACUGAGGCAUGAAGGGAACCAUGGCCGGGAGGCAGAGCUACUCCAGAGAGAAGGCAGCGGCGGCCUGAGCCCCUACUUUCUUCAAUCACACCUGAAUAAAUCACUUAGAGAGAGCUUAUAGCUUCAUUCCACCACGUGUGGCAUUUGGCCCUGUUUGGCAGUGAUGACCGCCUUUCUGUUCAGUGUCUGAGUGCUAUGUAGAUUGCACACAGGGGUCCAGAUGCAUUCUGUUUUGAGAAUGUCAGUGGAUACACCAAUAGCUGCUUUGGAUUUCACCAGAACCGCUGUUUGGAAUGCAGCCAAUUCAAGUGAAGAAAUAUCCAUAUUUGUGGCUCUGUUACAGUGGUGAAAUCUACAACCAUAAGAAGAAUGAGAUAGAAAAACAUCUCCUGAGAGAGACAUUUGAGGACUCCAAUCUGAUACUCAAAGAGAUUCUCUGGUGACCAAAAGAAGUCUUCAGUGAUGGAAUAACUUCAGUUAAGAAUUCCUGGUUUAAGAUUUUACAGAAAUAUGUUGAACAUCAGGUUGAUGAUGCAAUGAUGGCAAAUGCAGCCCAGAAAUUUCCCUUCAAUACUCCUAAAACCAAAGGAUACUACUACCAUCAAAUCCUUGAACACCAUUUCCCAGGCCAGGCUGACUGGCUGAGCCAUUACUGGGUGCCCAAGUGGAUCGAUGCCACUGACCCUUCUGCCCACACACUGACCCACUACAAGUCAGCUGCCAAAGCUUAGGUGCUCUUUAUGCUGUAAUAUGAAAGCAAAUAUUUCUUCUUAUUGUAUGGGGACUAUGGGUAGAUAGGGGAACAAUGAAAGUCAACUCAGGCUAACUUGAAUGUGAAAAAAAUAAAAGUCCUAAAUCUAAAA
rnacentral:lncRNA from 1 species